rnacentral:lncRNA from 1 species
UCUGUUUGGGAGAAGCCUCCUCCAGGCACAUGGCAGGGGCUCAGAAUAGUUGUGCUGUUGUAUGAACUGCAGCAGGUAAAAUGAACAUGUCGUAUGCCUGACAUACCUGAAGAUAGCUGACAUGGAUCAAACCUCACCAAUCGCUGACAUGGAUCAAACCUCACCUAUCACCUUAACAUUCUAGUUAGUUACUUCAUCGAGUGAACUUAUUAUUGUUGUAAACUAAUAGACGCAUUUCUGCAAAGCUAGCUUAACUCUUAAGUUACUCUUGUGAUGGUAAUCUGUUAAGGUUCUA